rnacentral:rRNA from 1 species
UACAGAGGGGGCAAGCGUUGUUCGGAAUUACUGGGCGUAAAGGGCGCGUAGGCGGCCUGCUAAGUCACACGUGAAAUCCCUCGGCUCAACCGGGGAACUGCGUGUGAUACUGGCGGGCUUGAAUUCGGGAGAGGGAUGUGGAAUUCCAGGUGUAGCGGUGAAAUGCGUAGAUAUCUGGAGGAACACCGGUGGCGAAGGCGGGAUCCUGGGCCAGUACUGACGCUGAGGAGCGAAAGCUAGGGGAGCAAACGGGG